rnacentral:ncRNA from 1 species
AAAGAUAGAGGUUGCGAUCUUUAAGAGUAAAUUUACAGAGUUAAGCACAGUGAAGUAAAUUGAAAGGAAAUAUCGCCGAAACAUAUAACUGAGGCUUUAAGGUUAUAUAGUUGGGAUUAUGUAGAAUAUGCAUAAUACUGUCAUAAAUUUUAUGAUGAGCUAUC